CGCGUAGGCUGCUAAGCAAGUCGGAGGUGAAAUCCCUCGGCUCAACCGAGGAACUGCCUCCGAUACUGCUUAGCUUGAGUCCCGGAGAGGGUAGCGGAAUUCCCAAUGUAGCGGUGAAAUGCGUAGAUAUUGGGAGGAACACCAGUGGCGAAGGCGGCUACCUGGACGGGUACUGACGCUGAGGCGCGAAAGCGUGGGGAGCAAACAGGAUUAGAUACCCUGGUAGUCC
rnacentral:rRNA from 1 species